rnacentral:rRNA from 1 species
UACGAAGGGGGCUAGCGUUGUUCGGAAUUACUGGGCGUAAAGCGCACGUAGGCGGUUUUUUAAGUCAGAUGUGAAAGCCCCGGGCUCAACCUGGGAAUUGCAUUUGAAACUGGGAAACUAGAGUGUGUGAGAGGGGGGUAGAAUUCCAAGUGUAGCGGUGAAAUGCGUAGAGAUUUGGAGGAAUACCAGUGGCGAAGGCGGCCCCCUGGCCCGAUAUUGACGCUGAGGUGCGAAAGCGUGGGGAGCAAACAGG